rfam:Picea glauca, whole genome shotgun sequence.
UCAUGCCUACAACAUAGCAUUAAUACAUCCGAUCCCAUUACAACUUCAUAGUUAAUCAUGCUUAGGCUAGUGUAGUACUGGUAUGGGUGACCGCCCGGGAAGUCCUAGCGUUUCACAUUCC